rnacentral:rRNA from 1 species
GACGAACGCUGGCGGCGUGCUUAACACAUGCAAGUCGAACGAUGACGACCGAGCUUGCUCGGUCUGAUUAGUGGCGAACGGGUGAGUAACACGUGAGCAACCUGCCCUUCACUCUGGGAUAACCUCGGGAAAUCGGGGCUAAUACCGGAUAUGAGCUCCUGUCGCAUGGCGGGUGUUGGAAAGUUUUUCGGUGAAGGAUGGGCUCGCGGCCUAUCAGUUUGUUGGUGAGGUAGUGGCUCACCAAGGCGAUGACGGGUAGCCGGCCUGAGAGGGCGACCGGCCACACUGGGACUGAGACACGGCCCAGACUCCUACGGGAGGCAGCAGUGGGGAAUAUUGCACAAUGGGCGAAAGCCUGAUGCAGCGACGCCGCGUGAGGGAUGACGGCCUUCGGGUUGCAAACCUCUUUCAGCAGGGAAGAAGCGAAAGUGACGGUACCUGCAGAAGAAGCGCCGGCUAACUACGUG